rnacentral:misc_RNA from 1 species
AACGCACCUUGCGCCUCUUGGUAUUCCGAGAGGCAUGCCUGUUUGAGUGUCAUUAAAUUCUCAACCUCAAAAGCUUUUAUUGUUUCUGAGGAUUGGAUGUGGAGGCUUUUGCUGGCUUGUUUUAGAGUUUCAGCUCCUCUUAAAUGCAUUAGUGGAAACUUGUUUUGUAGUCCGCAAUUGGUGUGAUAAAUAUCUGCGCCAUUGUACUUGUUGGCUGCUGCUCUUUAGUAGAGUUCGUUUUGGAAAGCUGCAUGAAUUUGCUCUUUCUGUUCUAAUUUGACCUGCUGAGAGUUUGAAUAGGGUAUCUGCUUCAAACUGUCCUAAGUUAAUUGGACAACCCACUUGACUAUUUUGACCUCAAAUCAGGUAGGACUACCCGCUGAACUUAA